rnacentral:lncRNA from 1 species
UUUUAUUGGUCAUUAAUGUAUUGAAUUAAUUUUCAAUGUACUGUUUUGGAGUGUUAAAUUUACAUUCAUUGCAAUAUUUUCAUGUACAUGGGUAGAUACAUUCUUAGGAAAUUAUCAACAAUCAUCGCUUAAUAACUGUUUUCCUCUUGAUUUGAGUUGGAGUCAGGCGUGUUGUGCCUUCGUUGCAAUUCUUCGUUUUUCCAAUGACGUUCCCU